CGCACAUUGCGCCCUUUGGCAUUCCGAGGGGCAUGCCUGUUCGAGCGUCAUUACACCACUCAAGCCCGGCUUGGUAUUGGGCGGUAGGGUCCUCCCUACGCCUCAAUUUCACCGGCUGGACGACCCGUAUCUCAGCGUUGUGGUAUUAAGUUCGCUGGCGAGAGGGACGUCCGCGCCGUUAAAUUUCCAAAAAGGUUGACCUCGGAUCAGGUAGGGAUACCCGCUGAACUUAA
rnacentral:misc_RNA from 1 species